CGGAUCUAGAGCGCGGUCAUCUCGCCGGUGUCGUGCACGGGGACCCGCUGCGGGUUCGGUUCCCACAGGUCCGGCC
rnacentral:tRNA from 1 species